CUAUGGGGCGGGGGUCAGGGAGACAGGAAUUUCUUUUGCUUUCUCAGCAUUCCUAUUGUUCAGAUUCUCCAUGGGGCCUUAGCCAGGUCCAUGGGAUUUACUACAAUCUCCUACACACAAGCUUUAAGAUCUUAGGUUCUGAAUCAGCUUGAUCAGGAAACUUCAAUUUACACUCGGGGCAUAUGCCCUGAUGCCUAUUAGAAAAGCAAUACAAGCGUCUCUCACAAACUCCGCACUGCAAUAGUACCCCACCAAGGGUGCCAGCCUCUCAAUGCCCCAAAGGCUCUCAGGAAUUGCCCACAGAGGCAGGCUAUUCCAUUUAUCACAGGGAACUCUAAAUCCUCUACGGCAGGUUGUUCCCAGUCCAGACUUUCUAUAGUACCAGCUGAAGUCUGAUAAAGCCCCUCUAAAUGAACUCAUUUGUCUCUUCUAUCUAUCCAAUAAUUCACAGGAUUCACAAACUCCUAGGGGUCGAGUCCAAACCACUGGGGCAGAGGAACCCCUUGAGUUCAUCUAGCCACGGGGUCACUCAAUACAUACCGUAUCCUCCGCACACCAGCAGGUCCUUGUCUGUCUCCGCAAGAGGCAAGCCGAGACGAGCGGAGCUCCUCUGGGAAAAUCCUGGGGCAUGCCUCAGGAGGUCCAUCUAUGACUCUGCCCCUGUGAGGACAGAGAAGGUCUCUCCUGGCUGGCUCGCCAAAAUGUGUUGUGGGAACAAACAAAAAUUCCACAACUUUGUGAAAGUUGUAAAGCUGUUUUAACAAGUCCCCUUUCACCAAAAAGGAGAGAUGAAUGUGAGAAAAGAUAUGUGAAAAAACAACAGUUUAUUAAAAAGGAAAACAGCAACAACCAAGAUAACAGCAAUAAUCACUAGAUACAAAGGUGCUGUGGUCUCCCUGGGAACAAAGAAAACAAGAUGGUGGAUAAGUCCCUCCUCCCAAGAUGGUGGCCACCACAGCAGCCAGCGUGGAUCAGAGGACAAAGACAAGAUGAUGGAGAAGCCUCCAGUUCCACCUUCCCCCGGAACAAAAAAAAAAAAAAAAAUCGGGAAGGCAGGGUAUUAUGAAGCAAUUCUGGUGGCAGAUGGGGGGGUGCUGGUGUUGCGUGGGGCAGCUCCGGACUUGCGGUGUCAGUUUUCCUCCUCCUUCUCUGCAACAGCACUGGUGUGUGUGUGAGGUCAGUGCUGCCACUUUGCUGCCUCUUCCUGCUACCUUCUGGACUCGGUGUCGGCACCACUGUCUCAGGUCACUGCCCCAUUGUGGGGCAGAAGGGGGGGUAAAUGGCCUAUCUCAUUGGGCACUGAAGAAAAACAGCCCCAACCCUACCGGUCCUGGCUGCAGUUACAGAGUUGUCAUUUCAAUGCCACACCUUGUCCUGCAGAAGCAUCCUAGAAGACUCAAAUGGGACUUGCAGGUCAUACAGUGCCAUUAUCUGCUGAUCCCUUCACUCAAGCAAGCCAGAAAAAAUGGACCCCCUUCCAGUUGUGGUCACAAUUUUUUCCCUGCUGAAACCAUGCCCAUAGCUGUGGCGCUAAGAGUAUUUGAAUAGACGGUGCUGAAAACUCUACAUCCUUGUCUUUGUACCCAAGACAACUUUCAAGCCUAAUCAACCAGAAGGGAGAUUUAAUCCAUUAAACAGAGAUCAGCAAACAAGCUGUAAGUGAUGUCCAGGUGUUAGGAAAAAAAAAUCACUUGGUAGAAUUUCCUUGUUAAGGUUUAGGGCUAGACAUGCUUCAGUGAACUCAGACCUCAGGGGAGGUUAACAAAGCUUUGACUGUAUAGAAGUGGUACCUCUAGAAGAACACUCAGGGGACUCCCACCACCGAGAAGUCCAGAAGAAGGGCCGGCAGGACACCACAGAAACCCAUGUGGUGGUGACUAUCUUUCUACUUAAUCUGCCUCUCUCUCCUUGUCUUGCUCUCUCUCUCUCCCUCUCUCCCCCACUUUGUCUCUCUGCUUCACAUUUACUGUUGAAUAAAAUACAUACUAUUGACUUUUGCA